UUUUUUUCAGGCUUUUGUUGAUAGUGGAGCUCAGUCUACCAUUAUAUCAAAAAGUUGUGCUGAGCGUCUUGGACAUGUGAGAAGCUAUCCUCGAGAAACUAUUAUGUGAGCCUCGAGAAACUAUUCUGCUUAUGCGGUGAAGCUGACUGACAUCUUCUAUUGUCCAGUGACAUCAAAUUAAUGUGAGGCUAGAUGGAUUUUCGCAUUAUUCUGACACCGAGAAGCUUGCAUUUCCCAGCUGCACAAGAAGAACCCUCUCAGCUAGGUUUGUUCCAUGUAUCCAAAUUGAUUGGUUGUGACAUCGAAGAUCUCAAGUUGAUACUAUCAACUCGCAAAAUGAAAGUUGGUAAUGAUUAUAUUGUCUAAAAGUUGACGCUAUCACAGG